rnacentral:rRNA from 1 species
GACGAACGCUGGCGGCGCGCUUAACACAUGCGAGUCGAACGGAAAGGCCUGCUUUCCCUUGUGGAUUGCGGGUACUCGAGUGGCGAACAGGUGAGUAACACGUGAGUGAUCUGCCCCCAACUUGGGUAUAAGCCUGGGAAACUGGGUCUAAUUCCCGAUAGGACUGCAGGGUGGUGCCUGUGGUGGAAAACGAUUUUCUAGUGGUUGGGGAUGAGCUCGCGGCCUAUCAGCUUGUUGGUGGGGUAAUGGCCUACCAAGGCGGCGACGGGUAGCCGGCCUGGGAGGGUGGACGGCCACAUUGGGACUGAGAGACGGCCCAGACUCCUACGGGAGGCAGCAGUGGGGAAUAUUGCACAAUGGGCGGAAGCCUGAUGCAGCGACGCCGCGUGGGGGAUGACGGCCUUCGGGUUGUAAACUCCUUCCGACCGCGAGGAAGCCACCUGGUUGGAAGGGUGGUGACGGUAGUGGUAGAAGAAGCACCGGCUAACUACGUG